CUGGAAGAAUCUGGAGGACAGGUGCUGCAUGGCUGUCGUCAGCUCGUGUCGUGAGAUGUUGGGUUAAGUCCGCAACGAGCGCAACCCUUGCCUUUAGUUGCCGGCAGUUCGGCUGGGCACUCUAAAGGGACUGCCGGUGUUAAACCGGAGGAAGGUGGGGAUGACGUCAAGUCCUCAUGGCCUUUAUGACCAGGGCUACACACGUACUACAAUGGCCGAUACAAAGGGCAGCGACACUGCGAGGUGAAGCCAAUCCCGUAAAAUCGGUCUCAGUCCGGAUUGGAGUCUGCAACUCGACUCCAUGAAGUUGGAAUCGCUAGUAAUCGUGGAUCAGCAUGCCACGGUGAAUACGUUCCCGGGCCUU
rnacentral:rRNA from 1 species